UGCCUACGGGACGCAGCAGUUGGGAAUAUUGGACAAUGGAGGAAACUCUGAUCCAGUGACGCCGCGUGAAGGAAGAAGGUCUUCGGAUUGUAAACUUAUUUUAUCAGGGACGAAGCAAGUGACGGUACCUGACGAAUAAGCCACGGCUAACUACGUGCCAGCAGCCGCGGUAAUACGUAGGUGGCAAGCGUUAUCCGGAUUUACUGGGUGUAAAGGGCGUGUAGGCGGGACUGCAAGUCAGAUGUGAAAACCACGGGCUCAACCUGUGGCCUGCAUUUGAAACUGUAGUUCUUGAGUACUGGAGG
rnacentral:rRNA from 1 species